GCGUGUGUGGGCUGAUAAUUUGAUGAAACAGCGUCGAUGUUGUUUCUCUGGAGGAAACGUGACCCGGGAUCACGAGGUCGUUGACCUCUCUCUGACCUCUGACCCCUUCAUGUUCAGCGUCUCCUCCACAUACACACACACACACAAACACACACUGUGUCUGUUCCACAGUGAAACUCUCGUGUUUGGAUAAACUCAUGCAACCCGCUGUUGCGUCACCGUCAUGUGGUCAUUCACAUCACACGGCCCGGCCGACCAAUGGAGGAGCUCCCACAGCGUCACGUGACCCGGGUCUACAGCAGGACACGAUGUUCUGAGCUCAGAUCAGAUGAACCAGUCAGAAGACUUUAGUCUGACUGUCAGACUCUUAAAGGAUCAGUUCAACAGAAACUCUGUGUCUUUACUGGAACAUCAUGAAGUUGUUCUUUGUUAGGUGAUGAACGUGUGACUCACCGUUGGGCAGCGGGACUGGAACGCUGGGCUGCUCCCGUCGUCCUCUCUGGAUCCGUACCGUGGCCCACUGCGAACACAGGAUUCGGACCAGGACCCGGAUGUAGACUCCAGUGACGCCCAGCGAGAGGCCGAACAUGGCGGGCAGCAUGAUGAAGAAGACCACCACGAACAUCCAGGCCUGGAACACUCCGACCGCCGCGCGCCACGGGUCGUCCAUCU